rnacentral:misc_RNA from 1 species
UUAAGUUCAGCGGGUAGUCCUACUCGAUUUGAGGUCAAGUUGUCAGAGAGUGUCCUAAGACAGUUAGAAGCCCAGAGCUCCCAAUCGGCCACCCUCUUUCGAGGCGCCGGCGAAGACACUUAUCACGCCGUACUAUGUCCAAUCAAGAGGUGCAACUAACAUAUUUCAGGUGAGCCACAGUCAAGCAGCAACACCCAAGU